rnacentral:lncRNA from 1 species
AUGCCCCCCCGGGGCAGCAGCGGGGGGAACGGGGGACGAGGGGCAAGAAGAGGGGGGAGAGCUGGACGGGGGACGCUGCGGGCAGGGCUGGGGGGGGGAACAGCGGGGGGCUCGGGCUGCGGGCGCGGGAGGACAGGAUCCACGCCGGGCAGGAAAGCUGUGGAUGCUCGGGAUGAGGGGAUGCCCAGGGUGUGGGGGGCUCGGGAUGCAGGGGUGCUCCAGAUACGGGGACGUUCGGGAUGUGGGGAUGAGGGGAUGCUCAGCAGGCGGGGACGCUCAGGGCGCUCAGGAUGCGGAGAUGUUCGCGAUGCGGGGAUGCCGCUGCCGCCAUCAGCCCGAGCCCGACGCCGCCGGCAGCCCCGAACCCGACUCACUCCAAGGUCAGCGCGGGGAUCUUCAGCCGCUCCCGCCGUGACUUCAUGCCGCCGCCGCUCCGCUCCGCUCCGCUCCCCGCGCCGCACCGGCAGCCCCCGCGCUGGGCGGCUCCAACGGGCGGGCGGCAGCGGCGGCACCGCCGGGAGCAGAGCUCGGCCCGCCGGGCCCGGACCCGCCCCUGCGGCUCGGCACGGCUCGGCACAGCUGGCACGGUUCGGGACUGCACCCCCCGGCUCGGCACCGCGCGGCACGGCAGCCCCCGAGCUCCCAGCACAGCCCAGAGCGGUGCAGAGGCCGCUCGGGGCCGCUGCGUUCCCGGGAUGCGCCUGGGCACCGCUGGAGCCAGAGCAGCACCGUCCCAGUACGGCCCCAGUGCGGCCCCAGCGCCCCCUCCAGCGCACCCCUGGCACGGCACCCGUGUGCCCCACACCCCCGGAGAGGCAGCGCAGCAGCGGUGCCCCCCCUCAUUACCGCACAACGCCCCGAGCAGCCUCAGCACAGCAUCAGGAUCGGCUCCUGCCGCACACCGGUACACCCCAAUACACCACGGCACAGCCCGGCGCGCUGCAGUGGCACACAGCUCUCCCCAGUACACUCCAGUACUCCCCGGUGCACCCUAACACACACGCAUCGUGUCUCUUUGGCACCAGAAAACACGGUGAUCCCACUCUGGGUUUGGGCACAGCAAGACCUGGCCACCCCAAGGUGGCAUCCAGCCGAGCCCUGCCGACAGCGGCGCGUCCCCAAGCGCGUCCCCCCCGGUGA